rnacentral:rRNA from 1 species
AAUCCAUAGGUUAAUGAGGCGAACCGGGGGAACUGAAACAUCUAAGUACCCCGAGGAAAAGAAAUCAACCGAGAUUCCCCCAGUAGCGGCGAGCGAACGGGGAGGAGCCCAGAGCCUGAAUCAGCAUGUGUGUUAGUGGAAGCGUCUGGAAAGGCGCGCGAUACAGGGUGACAGCCCCGUACACAAAAGCGCAUGUGCUGUGAGCUCGAUGAGUAGGGCGGGACACGUGGUAUCCUGUCUGAAUAUGGGGGGACCAUCCUCCAAGGCUAAAUACUCCUGACUGACCGAUAGUGAACCAGUACCGUGAGGGAAAGGCGAAAAGAACCCCGGCGAGGGGAGUGAAAAAGAACCUGAAACCGUGUACGUACAAGCAGUGGGAGCACCCUUUGGGUGUGACUGCGUACCUUUUGUAUAAUGGGUCAGCGACUUAUAUUCUGUAGCAAGGUUAACCGAAUAGGGGAGCCGGAGGGAAACCGAGUCUUAACCGGGCGUUAA